rnacentral:tRNA from 1 species
GCGAGCAUAGUUCAGUGGUAGAACGCUGUCCUGAUAAGACAGAGGUCCCAGGUUCAAUCCCUGGUGCUCGCA